rnacentral:rRNA from 1 species
CAGUCGCCACGGGAAUACGAAGGGGGCUAGCGUUGCUCGGAAUGACUGGGCGUAAAGGGCGCGUAGGCGGAUGGCACAGUCAGAUGUGAAAUUCCCGGGCUUAACCUGGGGGCUGCAUUUGAUACGUGUUGUCUAGAGUGAGGAAGAGGGUUGUGGAAUUCCCAGUGUAGAGGUGAAAUUCGUAGAUAUUGGGAAGAACACCGGUGGCGAAGGCGACAACCUGGUCCUUGACUGACGCUGAGGCGCGAAAGCGUGGGGAGCAAACAGGAUUAGAUACCCCGGUAGUCCCUGUCUCUUAUAC